AUCUCAGAUAGUUUAGUUGUUAGAAUAUGAGAUUCUUAAACUCAGGGUUAUGGGUUUGAACCCCAUAUUGGAUG